GUAAUAGUUAUGUUCUUGAAACUUAAAAAAUUUGGCGGUAUUUUAGUCUAUUCAGAGGAACUUGUCCUAUAAUUGAUAAUCCACGUUGGACCUUACUUAAUUUUGUUAAACAGUUUAUAUACCGUCGUUAUCAGAAUAUUUUAUAAGAAUAAUAAUUUUCAUUAAUUUAAAUUAAAUUAUAUUUCAGAUCAAGGUGUAGCUUAUAUUUAAGUAGAGAUGAGUUACAUUAAAAAUAUUUAAAUGAAUGUUAAAAUGAAAAAUUAAUUGAAGGUGGAUUUGGAAGUAAAUUUAUAAAGAU
rnacentral:rRNA from 1 species